AGCAGCCGCGGUAAUUCCAGCUCCAAUAGCGUAUAUUAAAGUUGUUGCAGUUAAAAAGCUCGUAGUUGAAUUUCGGGAUCAGUAUGUUGGUCGUGCUUCGGUACGUACUGUCAUUACUGGUUUCUACCUUCUGAAGAACCUUGAUGUCAUUAAUUUGGUGUCUUGGGGAAUCAGGACUGUUACUUUGAAAAAAUUAGAGUGUUUAAAGCAAGCAUACGCUUGAAUACAUUAGCAUGGAAUAAUGAAAUAGGACGUUUGAUUCUAUUUUGUUGGUUUCUAGGAUCGACGUAAUGAUUAAUAGGGAUAGUUGGGGGCAUUAGUAUUCAAUUGUCAGAGGUGAAAUUCUUGGAUUUAUUGAAGACUAACUACUGCGAAAGCAUUUGCCAAGGAUGUUUUCAUUAAUCAAGAACGAAAGUUAGGGGAUCGAAGACGAUCAGAUACCGUCGUAGUCUUAACCAUAAACUAUGCCGACUAGGGAUCGGAUGAUGUUAAUUUUUUAAUGACUCAUUCGGCGCCUUACG
rnacentral:rRNA from 1 species